GACUAUAAUUUAAGGUCUGACCUGCCCAAUGAGUUUAUUAAAUGGCCGCGGUAUCUUGACCGUGCAAAGGUAGCAUAAUCAUUAGUUUUUUAAUUGGAAGCUUGUAUGAAAGGUUGGAUGAGGGAAAAGCUGUCUCUUUAAAAAUUAUAUAGAACUUUAUUUUUAAGUGAAAAAGCUUAAAUAUUUAUAAAAGACGAGAAGACCCUAUAGAGUUUUAUAUUUUUUCUUUUUAAGUUUUUUAGUAUUCACAAUUUUAAUUGGAAAAAGUAUUUAAUUGGGGUGAUUGAAAAAUUGAAUUAACUUUUUUUAUAUUUUAACAUUGAUUUAUGUAUAAAUGAUCCUUUUUUUAAGAUUAAAAGAUUAAAUUACCUUAGGGAUAACAGCGUUAUUUUUUUUAAGAGUUCAAAUCGAAAAAAAAGAUUGCGACCUCGAUGUUGGAUUAAAAUUAAUUUUUGGUGCAGAAGCUAAAAAUGUUAGGUCUGUUCGACCUUUAAAAUUUUACAUGAUCUGAGUUUAAACCGGUGUGAGCCAGGUCG
rnacentral:rRNA from 1 species